rnacentral:rRNA from 1 species
GUGGGGAAUAUUGGGCAAUGGGCGCAAGCCUGACCCAGCAACGCCGCGUGAAGGAAGAAGGCUUUCGGGUUGUAAACUUCUUUUCUGAGGGACGAUAGUGACGGUACCUCAGGAAUAAGCCACGGCUAACUACGUGCCAGCAGCCGCGGUAAUACGUAGGUGGCAAGCGUUAUCCGGAUUUACUGGGUGUAAAGGGCGUGUAGGCGGGACUGCAAGUCAGAUGUGAAAACCAGAGGCUCAACCUCUGGCCUGCAUUUGAAACUGUAGUUCUUGAGUGUUGGAGAGGCAGGCGGAAUUCCGUGUGUAGCGGUGAAAUGCGUAGAUAUACGGAGGAACACCAGUGGCGAAGGCGGCCUGCUGGACAAUAACUGACGCUGAGGCGCGAAAGCGUGGGGAGCAAACAGG